UGUAUAAUAACAUAAAACAGACGAAA
rnacentral:guide_RNA from 1 species